AGAUUGAACGCUGGCGGCAUGCCUUACACAUGCAAGUCGAACGGCAGCACGGGAGCAAUCCUGGUGGCGAGUGGCGAACGGGUGAGUAAUACAUCGGAACGUGCCCAAUCGUGGGGGAUAACGCAGCGAAAGCUGUGCUAAUACCGCAUAAGAUCUACGGAUGAAAGCAGGGGAUCGCAAGACCUUGCGCGAAUGGAGCGGCCGAUGGCAGAUUAGGUAGUUGGUGAGGUAAAGGCUCACCAAGCCUUCGAUCUGUAGCUGUCUGAGAGGACGACCAGCCACACUGGGACUGAGACACGGCCCAGACUCCUACGGGAGGCAGCAGUGGGGGAAUUUUGGACAAUGGGACGAAAGCCUGGAUCCAGCCAUGCCGCGUGCAGG
rnacentral:rRNA from 1 species